GAGAGUUUGAUCCUGGCUCAGGAUGAACGCUAGCUACAGGCUUAACACAUGCAAGUCGAGGGGCAGCAUGGUCUUAGCUUGCUAAGGCCGAUGGCGACCGGCGCACGGGUGAGUAACGCGUAUCCAACCCGCCUUACACUCUUGGACAGCCUUCUGAAAGGGAGAUUAAUACAAGAUGUUAUCAUGAGUAAGCAUUUUCGCAUGAUUAAAGGUUUACCGGUGUAAGAUGGGGAUGCGUUCCAUUAGAUAGUAGGCGGGGUAACGGCCCACCUAGUCUUCGAUGGAUAGGGGUUCUGAGAGGAAGGUCCCCCACAUUGGAACUGAGACACGGUCCAAACUCCUACGGGAGGCAGCAGUGAGGAAUAUUGGUCAAUGGACGAGAGUCUGAACCAGCCAAGUAGCGUGAAGGAUGAAGGUUCUAUGGAUUGUAAACUUCUUUUAUACGGGAAUAAACGGAUCCACGUGUGGAUUUUUGCAUGUACCGUAUGAAUAAGGAUCGGCUAACUCCGUGCCAGCAGCCGCGGUAAUACGGAGGAUCCGAGCGUUAUCCGGAUUUAUUGGGUUUAAAGGGAGCGUAGAUGGGUUGUUAAGUCAGUUGUGAAAGUUUGCGGCUCAACCGUAAAAUUGCAAUUGAUACUGGCAGUCUUGAGUACAGUUGAGGUAGGCGGAAUUCGUGGUGUAGCGGUGAAAUGCUUAGAUAUCACGAAGAACUCCGAUUGCGAAGGCAGCUUACUAACCUGUAACUGACAUUGAUGCUCGAAAGUGUGGGUAUCAAACAGGAUUAGAUACCCUGGUAGUCCACACGGUAAACGAUGAAUACUCGCUGUAGGCGAUAUACAGUCUGCGGCCAAGCGAAAGCAUUAAGUAUUCCACCUGGGGAGUACGCCGGCAACGGUGAAACUCAAAGGAAUUGACGGGGGCCCGCACAAGCGGAGGAACAUGUGGUUUAAUUCGAUGAUACGCGAGGAACCUUACCCGGGCUUAAAUUGCAACCGAAUAUGGCGGAAACGCUAUAGCUAGCAAUAGCGGUUGUGAAGGUGCUGCAUGGUUGUCGUCAGCUCGUGCCGUGAGGUGUCGGCUUAAGUGCCAUAACGAGCGCAACCCUUGCCGAUAGUUACUAACAGGUUAUGCUGAGGACUCUGUCGGGACUGCCAUCGUAAGAUGUGAGGAAGGUGGGGAUGACGUCAAAUCAGCACGGCCCUUACGUCCGGGGCUACACACGUGUUACAAUGGGGGGUACAGAGGGCUGCUACCACGCAAGUGGAUGCCAAUCCCAAAAACCUCUCUCAGUUCGGAUUGAAGUCUGCAACCCGACUUCAUGAAGCUGGAUUCGCUAGUAAUCGCGCAUCAGCCACGGCGCGGUGAAUACGUUCCCGGGCCUUGUACACACCGCCCGUCAAGCCAUGGGAGCCGGGGGUACCUGAAGUGCGUAACCGCAAGGAGCGCCCUAGGGUAAAACUGGUGACUGGGGCUAAGUCGUAACAAGGUAGCCG
rnacentral:rRNA from 1 species